rnacentral:rRNA from 1 species
UCCGUAGGUGAACCUGCGGAAGGAUCAUUACCGAGUGAGGGCCCUCUGGGUCCAACCUCCCACCCGUGUUUAUUUUACCUUGUUGCUUCGGCGGGCCCGCCUUAACUGGCCGCCGGGGGGCUUACGCCCCCGGGCCCGCGCCCGCCGAAGACACCCUCGAACUCUGUCUGAAGAUUGUAGUCUGAGUGAAAAUAUAAAUUAUUUAAAACUUUCAACAACGGAUCUCUUGGUUCCGGCAUCGAUGAAGAACGCAGCGAAAUGCGAUACGUAAUGUGAAUUGCAAAUUCAGUGAAUCAUCGAGUCUUUGAACGCACAUUGUGCCCCCUGGUAUUCCGGGGGGCAUGCCUGUCCGAGCGUCAUUGCUGCCCUCAAGCACGGCUUGUGUGUUGGGCCCCGUCCUCCGAUCCCGGGGGACGGGCCCGAAAGGCAGCGGCGGCACCGCGUCCGGUCCUCGAGCGUAUGGGGCUUUGUCACCCGCUCUGUAGGCCCGGCCGGCGCUUGCCGAUCAACCCAAAUUUUUAUCCAGGUUGGCCUCGGAUCAGGUAGGGAUACCCGCUGAACUUAAGCAUAUCAAUAAGCGGAGGAA